AGGACGAACGCUGGCGGCGUGCUUAACACAUGCAAGUCGAGCGGAAAGGCCCUUCGGGGUACUCGAGCGGCGAACGGGUGAGUAACACGUGAGUAAUCUGCCCCUAGCUCUGGGAUAGCUCCGGGAAACCGGGAUUAAUACCGGAUACGACCACUUUAGACAUCUGUUGUGGUGGAAAGAAUUUUGGCUGGGGAUGAGCUCGCGGCCUAUCAGCUUGUUGGUGGGGUAACGGCCUACCAAGGCGACG
rnacentral:rRNA from 1 species